GAUGAACGCUAGCUACAGGCUUAACACAUGCAAGUCGAGGGGCAGCACAGUGUAGCAAUACAUGGGUGGCGACCGGCGCACGGGUGCGUAACGCGUAUCCAACCUUCCCGUUACUCAGGGAUAGCCGUCCGAAAGGGAGAUUAAUACCUGAUGGUGUUCAAAUUCCGCAUGUUAUUUGAACUAAAGAUUUAUCGGUAACGGAUGGGGAUGUGUGACAUUAGGUAGAUGGCGGGGUAACGGCACACCAUGCCUACGAUGUCUAGGGGUUCUGUGAGGAAGGUCCCCCACACUGGAGCUGAGACACGGUCCAGACUCCUACGGGAGGCAGCAGUGAGGAAUAUUGGUCAAUGGUCGGAAGACUGAACCAGCCAAGUAGCGUGAAGGAUGAAGGUUCUAUGGAUUGUAAACUUCUUUUAUACGGGAAUAAAACCUCCCACGUGUGGGAGCUUGUAUGUACCGUAUGAAUAAGCAUCGGCUAACUCCGUGCCAGCAGCCGCGGUAACAC
rnacentral:rRNA from 1 species